CCUACGGGUGGCAGCAGUGGGGAAUAUUGCGCAAUGGGCGCAAGCCUGACGCAGCGACGCCGCGUGAGGGAUGAAGGUCUUCGGAUCGUAAACCUCUGUCAGCAGGGAAGAACGGUCACUGUGCUAAUCAGCAGUUAAUUGACGGUACCUGCAAAGGAAGCACCGGCUAACUCCGUGCCAGCAGCCGCGGUAAUACGGAGGGUGCGAGCGUUAAUCGGAAUUACGGGGCGUAAAGGGCUCGUUGGCGGUAUGACAAGUAAAGGGUGAAAUCCCCGCGCUCAACGUGGGAACUGCCUUUGAAACUGGCAAACUGGAGUGUGUGAGAGGAUAGUGGAAUUCCAGGUGUAGGAGGGAAAUCCGUAGAUAUCUGGAGGAACAUCAGUGGCGAAGGCGACUAUCUGGCACAUAACUGACGCUGAGGAGCGAAAGCGUGGGUAGCAAACAGGAUUAGAUACCCGUGUAGUC
rnacentral:rRNA from 1 species